CAUGUCCUGAAGGAUUCGACAGGCCGUACGUUAAUCCUACUGUAUUAAUACGGGGACGCCGGAGUCACACCGCGGCUGCCGGGCCGGCUUGACCGGAUAGCAAAUGCGGGGCGCAGGCGACCCACUUACCGGUGGUAAGGUAUUAAUAUCGGUCUGACGGUUCUUCGGGAUUUUU
rnacentral:other from 1 species